UACAGAGGUCCCAAGCGUUGUUCGGAUUUAUUGGGCGUAAAGGGUGCGUAGGCGGCGGAGUAAGUUGGGUGUGAAAUCCCGGGGCUCAACCUCGGAAUUCAUUCAAUACUGCUUCGCUCGAGUACUGGAGAGGAGGCUGGAAUUUACGGUGUAGCAGUGAAAUGCGUAGAUAUCGUAAGGAAGGCCGGUGGCGAAAGCGAGCCUCUGGACAGUUACUGACGCUGAUGCACGAAGGCCAGGGGAGCAAACGGG
rnacentral:rRNA from 1 species